CGAACGCUGGCGGCGUGCUUAACACAUGCAAGUCGUACGGUAAGGCCCUUUCGGGGGUACACGAGUGGCGAACGGGUGAGUAACACGUGAGUAACCUGCCCACAACUUUGGGAUAACGCUAGGAAACUGGUGCUAAUACUGGAUAUGUGCUCCUGCUGCAUGGUGGGGGUUGGAAAGCUCCGGCGGUUGUGGAUGGACUCGCGGCCUAUCAGCUUGUUGGUGGGGUAGUGGCCUACCAAGGCGGCGACGGGUAGCCGGCCUGAGAGGGUGACCGGCCACAUUGGGACUGAGAUACGGCCCAGACUCCUACGGGAGGCAGCAGUGGGGAAUAUUGCACAAUGGGCGCAAGCCUGAUGCAGCAACGCCGCGUGCGGGAUGACGGCCUUCGGGUUGUAAACCGCUUUCAGCAGGGACGAAGCUUUUUGUGACGGUACCUGCAGAAGAAGCACCGGCUAACUACGUG
rnacentral:rRNA from 1 species